rnacentral:rRNA from 1 species
AUUGGACGCUGGCGGCAGGCUUAACACAUGCAAGUCGAGCGGGGUGAUGGUGCUUGCACUAUCACUUAGCGGCGGACGGGUGAGUAAUGCUUAGGAAUCUGCCUAUUAGUGGGGGACAACAUCUCGAAAGGGAUGCUAAUACCGCAUGCGUCCUACGGGAGAAAGCAGGGGAUCACUUGUGACCUUGCGCUAAUAGAUGAGCCUAAGUCGGAUUAGCUAGUUGGUGGGGUAAAGGCCUACCAAGGCGACGAUCUGUAGCGGGUCUGAGAGGAUGAUCCGCCACACUGGGACUGAGACACGGCCCAGACUCCUACGGGAGGCAGCAGUGGGGAAUAUUGGACAAUGGGGGGAACCCUGAUCCAGCCAUGCCGCGUGUGUGAAGAAGGCCUUAUGGUUGUAAAGCACUUUAAGCGAGGAGGAGGCUCUUUUGGUUAAUACCCAAGAUGAGUGGACGUUACUCGCAGAAUAAGCACCGGCUAACUCUGUGCCAGCCGCCGCCGUAA